CAUGGCCUCUUGCAACCCACAAAUAAGAGGUCCAACCUGCCCAGUGACAAUAAGUUUAACGGCCGCGGUAUUUUAACCGUGCUAAGGUAGCGUAAUCACUUGUCUUUUAAAUGAAGACCCGUAUGAAAGGUGUCACGAGGGCCCUCCUGUCUCCUACUUCAAGUCUAUGAAAUUGAUCUGCCCGUGCAGAAGCGGGCAUAACCACAUAAGACGAGAAGACCCUGUGGAGCUUAAGACUAUAACCAAUCAUGCCUAGUAACCUAUUCGCCAAACGACACAAAAGGUCAAAUAAGCUUAAUGACUAAUGGUUUACUGUCUUCGGUUGGGGCGACCAUGGGGGACAGAAAAGCCCCCAAGAAGAAGCAGGGGACCAAUUAUACCGAUCCCUAAGAGUCAAGAGCUACAACUCUAAACAACAGAAAUAUCUGACUAAUGAUGAUCCAGGCAAUAAGCCUGAUCAACGGACCAAGUUACCCCAGGGAUAACAGCGCAAUCCUUUCCCAGAGCCCAUAUCGCCGAAAGGGUUUACGACCUCGAUGUUGGAUCAGGACAUCCUGGUGGCGAAAAUUCUACCAAGGGUUCGUUUGUUCAACGAUUAAAGUCCUACGUGAU
rnacentral:rRNA from 1 species